rnacentral:rRNA from 1 species
AGUUUGAGGAAAUAAUCUCAAAUGAAUUCUGCCCAGUGAUUAAAUUUUUAAAUGGCCGCAGUACCUUGACUGUGCUAAGGUAGCAUAAUCAAUUGGCUUCUAAUUAAAGUCUAGAAUGAAAGGAAAUAUGGGGUAAUUCUGUCUUAAAAGAUUUUUUUUUAAUUUAUUUAAAUGAUGAAAAUAUCAUUUUUUAGAAAAAAGACGAGAAGACCCUUAGAGUUUUGAUUUUUUUUAAUUUUUUGUUGGGGCGACAAGUAAACAUAAAAACUUUACGAUAAUAAUUAAUCGAUUUUUAAUAAGAAUGAUAAAACUACCUUAGGGAUAACAGCAUUAUAUUUUUUUUAUGAUUGUGACCUCGAUGUUGGACUAGGAACUUUAUGGCUAGCCGUCAAAAGAGAUUUGUUCUGUUCGAACAAUUUUAUCCUAC